rnacentral:rRNA from 1 species
CAGCAGCCGCGGUAAUACGGAGGAUGCAAGCGUUGUCCGGAAUCAUUGGGCGUAAAGGGUCCUGAGGUGGUUUGCUCAGUCCACUGUGAAAGUUCAGGGCUUACCCUUGAAAAUGCGGUGGAAACUAGCAGGCUAGAGUACGGUGGGGGCAGAGGGAAUUCCCGAUGUAGCGGUGAAAUGCAUAGAUAUCGGGAAGAACACCGAUGGCGAAGGCACUCUGCUGGGCCGACACUGACACUGAAAGACGAAAGCCAGGGGAGCGAAUGGGAUUAGAUACCCCAGUAGUCCUGGCCGUAAACGAUGGAUACUGAGUGCUGGGCGGUUCAACCCGUGCAGUGCUGUAGCUAACGCGUUAAGUAUCCCGCCUGGGGAGUAUGCUCGCAAGAGUGAAACUCAAAGGAAUUGACGG